CCUGACACGUUUAUUUGUUUUGGCUUUAUGCUUUAUAUUUUCUUUAUUUGCAAAGUCAGCGCUUUUAUUUUGAAGGCCAGCGGAAGUGAUUGUAACUUCCGGUCCCUCUCUCGUCAGUCUGCUUUAACCCUGACUGCGGGAGGUGGCCUUUUGGAUGGCAUGAACACUCACACUCUGCUUGAUAUUGCAUUUUAUGCAGGAAUAAACGGCAGUCAGACAGCAUCCUCCGCGUCCUGCGUCCCUCUGUGCACAGUCCCCCCCCCUUUGCACCAGAACACAACGCAGCGUAGUCGGGGUGUGCAGGCGAGCCCCGG